CGCGGACGUGGGUGUGUGCGCAGAUGUGAUGCCGCCCUUCGCCUCCUCUGGCUGCCGCUAAACGCUGGUAAUUACAACUUUUCACACAAAGAACAGGUGCACCUGAAACGCCAGUGCAAGCCACUGAACAGAAACCCAGCCAAGGCUCAGGAUCGGAGACACCCCCCCUCUGGAGAGUGAAGGAGGGCAAUUCGGCGACGGCUGAUGCCCGAGAACCAACCGCAGGAUUCCAUUAACUCCUCUGGAAGAGGAGGGAUUGAUCAGCAGUAAUGGGGCUCCAGCAGGAGUCCGUGAGCAGUGAUGGAGCAGACAGGAGUAGACAGGAGUAACACAUGAGCCACGAUAGCGUCGCUCGACACUGAAGCCGCCGUGGCCGAUCUUCCCUACAGAUUGUCUUGGCGUAUCAGCACUCGCUCUCUUUCUCCCCCCUUUUUUUUUUUCAGGGCCUAAAGCGCAAAUAGCGAGAACAUCGCGAUCGGGGAUCAGGGAUUUUUCAGGUCUCCGGGCCGAUGUGAAGUUCUUCGCCUCCGACAGAUAAGCAUCUUGAAUUGGGGCCAGUAUCAGUGUGCAACUCUUCACAUUUUGACUCACGGAUCCAGAUGUGUUUUUUCUGCAUGGAUUCCAGUCAGUAAUUACCUCUCAGCUUCUGCCCACUGAUGCCAUUCUUUCCCUGUCAUUACCCAGUCUCCGAUGUGCCAAAGCCAGGUGACAAGCAGAUGGGCCUCGCUGGUGUUGAACUGAGCCCCGUCGCCCAUUCUGCUCCAUCAGAACCCCGACCGUCAGCCAGCAGAACGCCACGCAGCGGCCUUCGGCCCCUCUGUGCAUUCACUCAAAGUUAUUGGUACAAAACCCCACCGGUGCUAAAUCAGAACAAGUGGAAGCACUUUACUUCAGACAUUACCGAUCUACGCACACGAGCCAGUGUGACGAUUCUCUUAAAACUCGAUGGGCGACAUCUUUACGAAAGAUAAACUAAUGGGAAGGUUUCCCAGUUCAAUACUGCGUGAUUUAAUCAAACGUGUUGAUACCACGCAAUUAUGAGCAGGUACUCAAGUGAAACCACAUCUCAAAUGGAUGUACGGAGCUGGCGGGUUCCAGACAAAGUCCAACAAAAGGCACAAUAGAAAUAUAACAAAUAUACACAACACAAAUUGACUACUUAGAAAAAGUUUGUAUAUAAACCAAAAUCCAUGCAGUGUCCCUGAAAGUCUCUACAAACACAAAAAAGUGAACAUGUGUCUGAAUAUUAAAGAGACUGUGACACGGUGCAAUGUGAGAAUAACACUGACACUGUAUAUUUAAAUUAACCCCUUGCAUAGUGAGUUUAUAUUUCAACUGAUCAGGUCUCAUGAUUUUUUUUAAAACCCUUAAAAAAUAUAAAUUAUUCAUUUUAAUUAUCAAGCGAAUAAAUGUCAAAAUUUGCUUCUCAAAUGUGAAGAGCUCCUUUUUUGUAUGUUUUUUUGUAUAUUUUGUUGCUGUAGGACUGAUGAAUAGAAUCAAUACUUUGGGGUAAGAUUUGACCCCUGAGAGCCUGUAAAUAUCUGUAUUCUUAUACACCGACUUAUUAAAAAGACAAUUUACAAAUAUUCGAAAAGGCAACGAACAGCUGAACACAGUGUAGAGGUUUGCAAUGAACCCCCACAUUGUACCCGAAGGCAUUUAACAGUUGACAGCACUUUGGUUGAGUGGUCAAUGCCCUUUUGUUUGUUAAUUAGGCCGAUAAAUAACCACGUUCGUGCCGUCACAACACGUACAACCAGGAUAACUUGUGUGUGCGGAAGACGUGCUCUUUACGCCCGAGGUGGAAGAAGUUCGUCCACUGAGAGAAGAUUAAAACAGCAACCUUCACCCUCACAACACGCCGCCCAUCUAAAAGAAAUGCAUUAGACAAGCAACGAACGCAAUUACAUAUUCUGCAUUGUGUUGAUUGUAUUUUUUUUGCUCCUUUUGCAGCAGCCUGGUGAAGGAGACUCAUUGGAAUUCAUGAAAUGGUUUUAUCAUGGCGCAGCGCUGUAAAAUCAAUACAUUAACAGUGCUGGGGGGGUUGGGGGGGGGACCAACCCUCUCAGCAGAUUGUGUUUAUGCACCCUGACCCAUUCCACAAAGUGUUACGCAUCACAUUCAAAUUGGAGGAAUUAUCUCCCACAUACAUUUCAGACACAUGCAAUAGAUACAUACAUGCAUGCGUACAUACAUGGGAGUGGAGCUUGUGCGUGUGCGGCAAAAUAAUACUGUGUGUGUGUGUGCAUGUUUUAAUUGCAUUAUUUUUGCCAGCAAAAGGUUUUUGUCGUACAGAAUACACAAAUAAUGAUCGGGAUGUAAAUACAGUGCCAUGUGCAUCGUAUCUGCCGUCCACAGUAUGAGCUCUGAUAUGCAUCCAUCACGCGCGGUGACGGGAGUGCUGUGUAUAUCUGUAUAUGAGCGUGUGUGUGUGUGUGUGUGUGCACGUAGCCGGGUUUGUGUGCAUGCUCCCGUGUGCGCAUGGAUUUGUGUUGUGCUGAUGGGCU